CCCAUGGGGAGGAGGAGACCUAGAAACUUGCUGUGUCGAAGAACAUGCAAUGCGACCGCUGGCUUUCUCCCCUCAUCCUCUCGUCCUUACGCCGUGAAUAAAUCAUGGCGUUGCUGUACCAUUUCGCGUAGACUCCAGCCAGUGGCGUGGAACCCCCCGAAAGAGCCGGUAAAGGGACUACUUUGAGAAGUCUAGCCGCGCAUUCCCGGGAAUUACAGUAGGCUGAUAGUAUGUGGGCCGUAAACGGUUAAUGCCCAGACAGAUGUUGCAGGACUGAUAAAGUGAGGGAGGGAAAGCACUCGCAUGUGGUUCACAGCCAUCUGAGCUGAUAAGAGCGCACAGUCUCAGUUGUAACAACUCUGCGUGCGUCUCUGAUGAAUGUCCUGCCAGGUGAUGCAUAUUACAAAAAAAGCAACCGGAGUUGGCCGGAAUGGCGGUGAGGCCUUUCCCUCGGCAGUCGACGAUGUUGUUGCUGCAGGUACACAUGGCCGGACAAGAGCCUCCGCCAACGCUGCACGGCUGCAUCCCAGAGGACUCCUGGUGUCCUGAAGGGAAGAGCAGGAGGGAGAAAAAACAAGGUGAAUGAGGAGGUUCCGAUGACGGGAAAGUGGAGCUCCUACAGGUGUGCGGGCGCCGGGAGCAGGAUUAUUACAGGGAGGCUGACGACAAGCGAUGGCCUGGAAAAACAACUACAUGUGUUGCCGUGCUCAUUACUGGCAAAACUUUACCGUGCGGUGAUGCUUUCCAGCCGGACACUUGGACCGACAGCGAGUAAAUCACUAUGCCAGAACGCUGCAGAGGUUUAUUAUGUUUUUCAUCAAUGAAUAACACACUGGACCCCGUUUUCCUCCUCCUCGCCUCGACAACAACAGCAGCACGCCUUUCUUCUCCCUCUUUCCCUCUCUCUUCUUCUUCUCUUUCAGCACAGCGCCACCCUGCUCCCAAAUCCCCCGCAGGUGGCCUGGCCUGGUCACAACACAAACUAAAUACAUACACAACCGCAUAGUGCUAAACAUGAAAAAUACAAAAGAGAAAAAAAUGUAAUAAUAAAAUAAAUGUGCGUGCAUGUGUAUGUGUGUGCCAGCGUGCGAGUCCCUAAUGAUUUCUUCACUGGGAGUUCAACUUCUGGUCAUCCUCUCAAGACGAAAACGGGAG